rnacentral:rRNA from 1 species
UACGUAGGGCGCAAGCGUUGUCCGGAAUUAUUGGGCGUAAAGAGCUCGUAGGCGGCUUGUCACGUCGGAUGUGAAAGCCCGGGGCUUAACCCCGGGUCUGCAUUCGAUACGGGCAGGCUAGAGUGUGGCAGGGGAGAUCGGAAUUCCUGGUGUAGCGGUGAAAUGCGCAGAUAUCAGGAGGAACACCGGUGGCGAAGGCGGAUCUCUGGGCCAUUACUGACGCUGAGGAGCGAAAGCGUGGGGAGCGAACAGG